GCUGAGUUUAUAGUAUAUAUAUAUUUUUUUACAUUGUUUGCAAACUGAUAUGUGACACGUAUUAAUGCCAAAAUGACUUGCAAAACAUGCAAGCCCCUCCCCCCAAAAUGUAUGACCACUGGGUUGUUGUAGUUUUCUUACUAGCCAUGAAGAUGAUUUUACUAUUAUCUCAGCAGGCUGUGAGUGUGAGACCUGUUUACCUCUUGUAUUACUCCCAUUGCUAGUUUGCUACAGUAUAUCCAUAACUCAGAAGACGGGCUGCUGUAGCUGUCAGAGCUGCCUGUCAGAGCUGCCUCUGCUGUUUGUUUGAUUAUGAAACAUUAGGAAUUAUUGUGGCUAAGAGCAAAGUGGUGGGAGCUGUCUUUAGGUUAAUCCAGUUUCUGGUCAUCUUUGAUGUGUUUGGGUAAAUUGGGGUUUCAAUAAUUCAGUUUCUAUUACAAAGCCAUCUAUAUUAAGUCAGAGUGGAUGGUGUGUGAUUGUAUCACAUUGUCUCUACACUUGUUUCCUCUUGUGUCGUGUCUAACCUGUUAUACUGCAGGUGUGUCUGUACGGUGCAAAAGUCUUACCAGGAGACCGACUCCUGGUAAGCUCUGUCACCACCUAGGUGAAGGACACUGCCUUCCCCAACAUCUCUGAUCUGGGUUCCCGUGUGUGGGAUUUGUCUGAUUACAACAUCCCCUCAGACUAACAUGAUCGUCACCCCCAAUCAAACUCAACUGAGCUGUCCAAAGCUCCCAAGCCAAUCCACCAUUUGCAUGUCAGACAGUGACUGCACAGAGGGAUCCAGUGAUGUCCGUGGCAACGGUAAACCUCCAUGUCUUGCUGAUGAAUCCUUGUAGAAUUGUUAACAUGGGCAGCAACCAGCAAAGAGAUGGCUGAAACAUUCAUUCAGUGUCAUAAGUAAAUACAUAUCUACUGCUCCAGAGAAAUGUGUCCUAAAAUUCAUUAACAUUUUCUGAAUCAUUCUGCAAUAUAUUUGAAUAACUAUAUAGCAAUGUCUCUAAUCAUAUUACUCUCUUCAAAGGUAUGCAGACAGGGCUAUGCGUAAACUACUCAGAGACUGUCAAUACCUGUGAGGUGUUAUCUUGGGGUCCUUUUGAAAUAGACACUAACCUAGCUGAGUAAAGAACACAUUACAGUGCAUUC